rnacentral:rRNA from 1 species
UACGUAGGGUGCGAGCGUUGUCCGGAAUUAUUGGGCGUAAAGAGCUCGUAGGCGGUCUGUCGCGUCGAAUGUGAAAACCCGGGGCUCAACUCCGGGCUUGCAUUCGAUACGGGCAGGCUAGAGUUCGGUAGGGGAGUCUGGAAUUCCUGGUGUAGCGGUGGAAAUGCGCAGAUAUCAGGAGGAACACCGGUGGCGAAGGCGGGACUCUGGGCCGAUACUGACGCUGAGGAGCGAAAGCGUGGGGAGCGAACGG